GAUUGAACUUAAGAGUUUGAUCCUGGCUCAGAUUGAACGCUGGCGGCAUGCUUUACACAU
rnacentral:rRNA from 1 species